rnacentral:rRNA from 1 species
UACAGAGGUCUCAAGCGUUGUUCGGAUUCAUUGGGCGUAAAGGGCGCGUAGGCGGUGGGGUAAGUCUGGUGUGAAAUCUCGGAGCUCAACUUCGAAAUUGCACUGGAUACUGCUCUGCUAGAGGGCUGGAGAGGAGAUCGGAAUUCACGGUGUAGCAGUGAAAUGCGUAGAAUAUCGUGAAGGAAGACCAGUGGCGAAGGCGGAUCGUCUGGACAGCUCCUGACGCUGAGGCGCGAAGGCUAGGGGAGCAAACGGGAUUGAGAU